CCUACGGGGGGCUGCAGUCGAGAAUUUUUCUCAAUGGGGGAAACCCUGAAGGAGCGACGCCGCGUGGGGGAUGAAGGGCUUCGGCUCGUAAACCCCUGUCAUUUGUGAGCAAGUGUUAUUGUUUAAGAGAUGAUGACAUUGAUAGUAGCAAAAGAGGAAGGGACGGCUAACUCUGUGCCAGCAGCCGCGGUAAUACAGAGGUCCCAAGCGUUGUUCGGAAUCACUGGGCGUAAAGGGUGCGUAGGCGGUAUAGUAAGACUUGGGUGAAAUCUCCAUGCUUAACGUGGAGGGAGCCUGGGAGACUGCUGUGCUAGAGGAUUGGAAGGGAGACUGGAAUUCUUGGAGUAGCAGUGAAAUGCGUAGAUAUCAAGAGGAACACCAGUGGCGAAGGCGAGUCUCUGGACAAGACCUGACGCUGAGGCACGAAGGCCAGGGGAUCAAACGGGAUUAGAUACCCCUGUAGUC
rnacentral:rRNA from 1 species